rnacentral:rRNA from 1 species
UACGUAGGGUCCGAGCGUUGUCCGGAAUUAUUGGGCGUAAAGAGCUCGUAGGCGGUUUGGCGCGUCUGCUGUGAAAUCCCGAGGCUCAACCUCGGGCCUGCAGUGGGUACGGGCAGACUGGAGUGCGGUAGGGGAGAAUGGAAUUCCUGGUGUAGCGGUGGAAUGCGCAGAUAUCAGGAGGAACACCGAUGGCGAAGGCAGUUCUCUGGGCCGUAACUGACGCUGAGGAGCGAAAGCGUGGGGAGCGAACAGG